AAGAGCACCUCCAAUGGGAGUAUCAAAUGGAUUAUCAAACCCAUAAACUAUCUUUUUGAUAUCCCAAAAUUAAAAAUUUCUACUCCAAUGGGAGUAUCAAAAUGGGUAAGUAUUUUGAUAAUCUACAUCUUCAUAAGUAAAAAUACAUCUUGGAAAUUGAGUUAUCAAAACAAUAACCACCUAAACCUCCAAUCACAAAAUGACACGUGACAAUUAUAAAUAAAACUACU
rnacentral:lncRNA from 1 species